CCCUUAGAUGUUCUGGGCCGCACGCGCGCUACACUGACGAAUGCAACGAGCUUAUAACCUUGGCCGAAAGGUCUGGGUAAUCUCCAAAUUUCGUCGUGAUGGGGAUAGAUUAUUGCAAUUAUUAAUCUUCAACGAGGGAUGCCUAGUAAGCGCAAGUCAUCAGCUUGCGUUGAUUACGUCCCUGCCCUUUGUACACACCGCCCGUCGCUCCUACCGAUUGAAUGGUCCGGUGAAGCGUUCGGACCGUGGCCUUUGGACGGUUCGCCGUCUGUUGGCUGCGGGAAGUUCGUUAAACCUUAUCAUUUAGAGGAAGGAGAANUCGUAACA
rnacentral:rRNA from 1 species